GCGCGGAAACCGUGGGACAGGUGGAGGGCGCAAAACCCUGUCACCAGAGACCAUAAAGUUUGGCUGAGACAAACGGAGGUGAAACAUUUUAGAAGAAGAAAAAGUACUGAUAACAUUAUCAGAGAAUCUGUAUUUUAUGUGGGCCAUCAAAGGACUUCUACCAACUUGUGCGCUGAAGUGCAUCAGACCUAACCCAUAAAGUCACACGUCCUCCUUGGGAUGACACCGCAUAUUUGGGGAGCAAGCAUCAAGCAGGAGGUCGAAUCUGGCAGGCAUGAGGCGAGGAAACAAACAAGUGUUAACAUUAGUGAUUUGUAUGCUGGGGCGAAAGGACAACGGCAGAUUGGAGGCAGAAAAACAGGCGCUCGCCAUUCCCGUUCACUCGGUAGCUUGUGAAAGAUGAACGAGGAGAAGGCAGAGAGGGGGGAUGGGGAGAUGAAAAUGCUGGAUGAGAGAUAAGACAAGUGAAGGGAAAAGAGACCUGCUUGGUAUUCACCUGUCUCUCUGGAUCAAUAAAGGGCUGCAGCAGAUCUCAUCAGUUGGUUAUAGGCAUGGAGGUUCUCGUCCGUCAUGUGGGGUCACCAGCCUGAGAGGAAUGCUCCAUGUCAGGGAUGUCAGGAGAGGAAGGGGUUUCCCAAGGGAUACAAUACUCAACAAAGUGUAUCGCACCUCUGGCCAAUCAUUGGCGCUUGUCCUGCUUGUAUUGUGAAUUUCAUCAAAGCGCACAGGCCCUUCACUGAGCCCAUCUGCUGUGUGCGAGCGUUAAUUAACCACACUGCCAUUUCCUCCGUGCGUGUUGCAUUUGAAGGUGAUGAGUGUCUGGGGAAAGAAAGACUUUCCUCUUGGGCGUUCUUGUCAUCAUUGCCAAAGUGGAAGAAAAACAGAAACAACCCACAGAUGGAGCUAAUGGAGUGUGACUAGGAUUUGAUCUAAAUGAAAACAGCUUUCUUUAUAAAAUAAAUAAACAAAUUAUUCCAUUCUGUCUUAUGGGAGCUAUGCUUUCCCAUCAUUUUGCCCUAUCUCCAUCUUAUCUGUGCGUAUGCUAGCUUUCUUUUGGUGUCCUCUUGGCAGCAGG